rnacentral:rRNA from 1 species
GAUGAACGCUGGCGGCGUGCCUAAUACAUGCAAGUAGAACGCUGAAGGAGGAGCUUGCUCUUCUGGAUGAGUUGCGAACGGGUGAGUAACGCGUAGGUAACCUGCCUGGUAGCGGGGGAUAACUAUUGGAAACGAUAGCUAAUAUCGCAUGACAACAGUUAUUGCAUGAUAACUGUUUAAAAGGGGCAACUGCUCCACUACCAGAUGGACCUGCGUUGUAUUAGCUAGUUGGUGAGGUAACGGCUCACCAAGGCGACGAUACAUAGCCGACCUGAGAGGGUGAUCGGCCACACUGGGACUGAGACACGGCCCAGACUCCUACGGGAGGCAGCAGUAGGGAAUCUUCGGCAAUGGACGGAAGUCUGACCGAGCAACGCCGCGUGAGUGAAGAAGGUUUUCGGAUCGUAAAGCUCUGUUGUAAGAGAAGAACGAGUGUGAGAGUGGAAAGUUCACACUGUGACGGUAUCUUACCAGAAAGGGACGGCUAACUACGUG